CUGAACUGGUAUAUCUUGCUCUUCUGAUCCGGAACAUCCUGCAAUGCGUAACGGGCCAGCUCGUGGAACUCAACAUUGUACUUGUACAUAGAAUUGCUGCCCUGCUUCAAGCGCCUGAACUUCUCACGCAUCUCCUCAACAAAACUGGAAGGAAUGUAGUGGGACCUGAAGUCACGACAGAACUCGUCCCAAGACAUCACCCUGCCACCUCUGGAGUCCUUAAGCUGCUGCCACCAAAUAGAAGCCUGCCCCUUCAACUGGAAUGUUGCAAACUUGACAUAAUCCUC
rnacentral:lncRNA from 1 species